UGCGAUGUACGAUUGUAAACAAAGCGUCGAAAGUGGGGAUAAAUGGUCCUAGCGAAAGACCUCCUUUUGCCACUAGUGAACUAGUACGUAGUUUACACUCGUAGGUUACGGAUGUAUCCUGGUACAAUGUUUAUUAAUACGAUACGACUCGAGCCUCUUCACACCGAGUAUCGAGAUCGAGCUGAUUUUGCUCGAUUUGAGCUAAUUUUGAACGAGAUUUGCGCCAAUAUGUAACGUUUAUUGUGUAAGAUGCAGAGGGCGGUGCUACUGCUCUGUUGGCUGCCGCUCCUCAACCACUGCCACGCCGUUAAUCCAGGUUAGAGAUUUUAAACUACACGUUUCUAGGGGCUUCUAUCCACUUAUUACGCGAUUCUGUAAUUCGACCGUUGCGGAUAUUUAAAAAAGUAAUAAUGGUUCAAAGAUAAAGCGAAACGUUUCGAACGUUACGAGAUCAUUAUAUGCGUGCAUUAUACUCAUAUUUCUAGUUAUUAAACGGAUAAUGAUCCCUCUGGGAACAAUAAUAACAUAAAUUACGUAUGCUCGUUGCUGUAUAUAUAUAUAUAUCUAUAUAUUUUACCGAAAGUAACUCGUACUUUUACGCGUGAAUAAUUAUCUCGAACAGAACGUAAUGACGAUAAACUUUCUUUGAUUUGUGAAAACGUGCGAGCAGUAAUCCGUGAUAACUAUAAAUUUCGCUUGUGCAAUAACGAUUAAUCACGAGAACUCGAUGCUCGAUUACCUAAUAAAACUUCCACUCAUCCUACGAACGUAAUUAAAU